rnacentral:lncRNA from 1 species
UCCAACUUUAAUUCAUCCAACUCCAAUAAGUUUUGAACUAGUGAUUCGAUAUACUCAUCAUCACUUAACUUAUGUUGCAAACACACUCUGAUCGAUUGCACGUUAAUUUUCAUAGGCAAAACGGCCUCCUGUCCAUAAGUUGGAAAGGAGUAAUUUUGGUACUUGACCGAGGCGAUGUCCUAUAAGCCCAUAAGGCCUUGUUUAGACAUUCG